UGGGGUAUUUUGCACAAUGGGGGAAACCCUGAUGCAGCGACGCCGCGUGAUUUAGAAGGCUUUCGGGUUGUAAAAAUCUUUUUUACGGGAUGAAAAUGACAGUACCGUAAGAAUAAGGUCCGGCUAAAUACGUGCCAGCAGCCGCGGUAAUACGUAUGGACCGAGCGUUGUCCGGAAUCAUUGGGCGUAAAGGGUACGUAGGCGGCCUAGUAAGUUAGAAGUGAAAUAAUAUAGCUCAACUAUAUAAAGCUUUUAAAACUGCUAGGCUUGAGAGAUGGAAGGGAAAGUGGAAUUCCUAGUGUAGCGGUGAAAUGCGCAGAUAUUAGGAAGAAUACCGGUGGCGAAGGCGACUUUCUGGUCAUCAUCUGACGCUGUGGUACGAAAGCGUGGGUAGCAAACAGG
rnacentral:rRNA from 1 species